rnacentral:misc_RNA from 1 species
AAGUCGUAACAAGGUCCCCGUUGGUGAACCAGCGGAGGGAUCAUUACAGAGUACUUUACUCGAAAACCACUGUGAACUUACCUUCUGUUGCUUCGGCUGGGCUGCCCCUCGCAUCCCCCCCUUGGGGGGUUUCGGGGCGGCGUCCAAGGCCCGCCGAGGGCACCAAAACUCUUGUAUCUUUGUGGAAAUUCUAGAGAAAAUAAUCAAGUAAAUCAAAAC